rnacentral:tRNA from 1 species
GUCUUUGUAGUAUAUGCAAAUACUUUGGUCUUGUAAACCAAAAAAGGAGGACACUUAACCUCCCUAAGACU